rnacentral:lncRNA from 1 species
UUGCCUUUAAAGUAAAACGUCGCCCCGACGCACCCCCCGCGUAUUUCGGGGGGCGGAGGCGGCGGGCCACGGCGCGAAGAGGGGCGGUGCUGACGCCGGCCGGUCACGUGGGCGUGUUGUGGGGGGGGAGGGGCGCCGCCGCGCGGUCGGUUCCGGGCGGUUGGGAGCGCGCGAGCUAGCGAGCGAGAGGCAGCCGCGCCCGCCGCCGCCCCUGCUCUGUAUGCCGCUCUCUCCCGGCGCGGCCGCCGCCGAUCACAGCAGCAGGAGCCGCCGCCGCCGCGGUUGAUGUGGUUGGGCCGGGGCUGAGGAGGCCGCCAAGAUGCCGCAGUCAAAGUCCCGGAAGAUCGCGAUCCUGGGCUACCGGUCUGUGGGGAAAUCCUCAUUGACGAUUCAAUUUGUUGAAGGCCAAUUUGUGGACUCCUACGAUCCAACCAUAGAAAACACUUUUACAAAGUUGAUCACAGUAAAUGGACAAGAAUAUCAUCUUUAACUUGUAGACACAGCCGGGCAAGAUGAAUAUUCUAUCUUUCCUCAGACAUACUCCAUAGAUAUUAAUGGCUAUAUUCUUGUGUAUUCUGUUACAUCAAUCAAAAGUUUUGAAGUGAUUAAAGUUAUCCAUGGCAAAUUGUUGGAUAUGGUGGGGAAAGUACAAAUACCUAUUAUGUUGGUUGGAAAUAAGAAAGACCUGCAUAUGGAAAGGGUGAUCAGUUAUGAAGAAGGGAAAGCUUUGGCAGAAUCUUGGAAUGCAGCUUUUUUGGAAUCUUCUGCUAAAGAAAAUCAGACUGCUGUUGAUGUUUUUCGAAGGAUGAUUUUGGAGGCAGAAAAAAUGGACGGGGGCAGCUUCACAAGGCAAGUCUUCAUGCUCGGUGAUGUGAUUCUGCUGCAAAGCCCGAGGACACUGGGAAUAUAUUCUAGCUGAAGAAGCAAACUGCCCGUUCUCCUUGAAGAUAAACUAUGCUUCUUUUUUCUUCUGUUAACCUGAAAGAUAUCAUUUGGGUCAGAGCUCCCCUCCCUUCAGAUUAUGUUAACUCUGAGUCUGUCCAAAUGAGUUCACUUCCAUUUUCAAAUUUUAAGCAAUCAUAUUUUCAAUUUAUAUAUUGUGUUUCUUAAUAUUAUGACCAAGAAUUUUAUCGGCAUUAAUUUUUCAGUGUAGUUUGUUGUUUAAAAUAAUGUAAUCAUCAAAAUGAUGCAUAUUGUUACACUACUAUUAACUAGGCUUCAAUAUAUCAGUGUUUAUUUCAUUGUGUUAAAUGUAUACUUGUAAAUAAAAUAGCUGCAAACCUCAAAAAAACAAAAAAAAACAAAAAAAAGAGUAAACCAAUUUGGUUACUCAUUUUACCAAUUUGGUUUUGAUUUUGCAAGUGGUUACAACUCAUGAGAGGAUUCUUAUUUCUGAUCAAUAUAUUGUGUUUUUGGAAAGGACUUCUGGGAAAUAAUUAUGAUGAAGCCCUCGAGCAAUUGCAACAAAACCAAAAAUUGAAAAGUGGGACCUAAUAAUACUUUUUUAAAAUUUAUUUUUUAGAGACAGGAUCUCACUCUGUUACCCAGGCUGGAGUGCAGUGGCCUGAUCAUAGCUCACUGCAGCCUCAAUCUCCCAGGCUCAAGAGAUUCUUCUACCUCAGCCUCCUGAAUAGCUGGGACUACAGGUGCAUGCCCCCAUGCCCAGCUAAUUUUUGUAUUUUUUGUAGAGACCAGGUUUUGUCAUGUUGCCCAAGCUGGCCUUGAAUUCCUGAGCUCAAGCGAUCCUCUUGUCUUAGCCUCCCAAAGUGCUGGAAUUACAUGUGUGAGCCACCACUCCCAGCCCCAGAACAACUAUUAUUAAAAAGUCAAAAAACGACAGAUGUUGGUAGGCUGUGUAGAAAAGGAAAUGCUCGUACACUGUUGGUGGGAAUGUAAAUUAGUUCAGCCGCUGUUGAAAACAGUUUGGGGUUUUCUCAAAGAAGUUAAAACUGAACUAUGAUUUGACCCAGCAAUCCCAUUACUAGGUAUAUAUCCAAAAGAAAACAAAUUGUUCUACCAAAAAGACAUAAGCACUUGAAUAUUCAUUGUAGCACUAUUCACAGUAGCAAAGUCAUGCAAUCAACCUAGGUGGCCAUCAGUGGAGGAUUGAAUAAAGAAAAUGUGGUACAUAUACACCAUGGAAUUCUACACAGCCAUAAAAAGGAAUGAAAUCAGGAUGGUGCGGUGGCUCAUGCCUGUAAUUCCCACACUUUGACAGGCUGAGGCAGGCAGAUUGCUUGAGUCCAGGAGUUUGAGACCAGCCUGGGCAAGGUGGCAAAACCCUGUCUCUACAAAAAAUACAAAAAAA